AUGGUUUGGUAUUUUUGUCAUUCAAAAGGUUCAUGAAUGCACUGACUUCUUACCUGUUGGGAAAAUUCAAGUCAUAUUUCCACUCUUCUGUCUUUAACGGAUUUUCUUUUCCUUUUCAGGUGAUGUGUAAAGUCAGCAAACACAUCUUCUUUGUGUCUGAAGAAAUCAGAAGUGCAUCUGUCUGCUGCUAAAGCCAGAUCUAAACUUUUCUUUCUUCCCUUCCUGAGCAAACUGCAGCUUCAUUCAGAUUUCCAAUGGGGAACUGAAGCCACCUCACUGUGGAAAGACUGCUGAGAAAUAAAACAAGCUCUGGAAUCUGAGAAGAAGGAAACACCAAUGAGGAGAAAGCGGGGAGGAGAGAGGACUGUAGCCAUGGGGAUGAUAUUUUCUUUCCCUGUUUUUUCAAGCAUUAUCUUGAAAUCUCAUUUUCAAUUAUCUUAUCUGUUCUAUAGUAUAAAUGUUUUCUUAAGAAUCUCAGUUGGAUUUCACACGGUUAUAAUACAGGACUCAUCGUGAACCAUUAGAAGACAGCGGGUGAAGGGAAGGAAACAGGGGAGCUGAGGGGAAGGAAAGCAGAGAAAGAACUUCUCUGGGAGGAGAAGAGAAAAGGGACAGCAACACCAAUGGGAAUAGAGAAAAGUCACCAAUGGAGGAAAGGAGGCAAGUGGGACCUGAGCAGAGUUCCAUGACGUCUUCCCAUGCUACAGACAAAUGCUCUUCUAUUUUCAGCAUGUUCCUGUUAUAAUGCCCUGAGGAACCUUCAAGGGGAUCAAUGUGCUCAGCUGUCUGAACAGUCUGAUGCCUUUUUUUGUGUGUGGAGAAGAGGUCAUUAUAAGUCAUUCUAGGGUCACAUUUGGGGAAGGAGAGUAAAUUGCUGUGCAUUAAUAAAAAAAAA